rnacentral:piRNA from 1 species
GACAGAAAGAUACACAGGGACCCCACUGG